rnacentral:tRNA from 1 species
UAUAUUUUAGUGAUAAACAUAUAAAAUUUUGAAUUUUAUGAUAAUAAAAUUUUUAUUAAAUAUAA